CGCAUAGCUGUAGACCGUUCUAGGCGUUGUACGGUCAAGUAGUAGACACUGAACAUAAAUAGUGUGUACUAAGUAUUCAGAUUCAGCCCAGGUAUUACUGAAGGCAUUUAAUGGUCAAAAUAUUUUUAAUAAAUAUUCGAAUAUAUUCGAAUACUAAUAUUAAUAAACAAACGAACUUCGAAUAUGAUUUUUGGCCAAAAGUCAAAGCCCUAGUAUACAAUGAAACCAGAGCUUCGGUUGUAACCGAAUUAAAAUCGGCCUCCUUCAUUGCCCUGACCUCAGACAUGUGGUCAUCCGUGAACAUGACGCCAUGUCUCUCACAGCCCAUUAUAUAAGCAAAGACUGGCAACUGGAGGCGAAGUGUUUGGCCACAUCCUUCGUCCCAGAAAAUCAAACGAAAGAUGUGCUGGCAGACGCCCUCAAAGUCGGCGCUCAAGAGUGGGGCAUAGAGGAAGAGAAGAUAUCCUGCAUCACAACCGACAAUGGUGCAAACAUUAUUGCAGCCGUCCGGGAGCUCAAAUGGCCCUGGUUGAACUGCUUUGGACAUAAUUUGAAUAUGGCCAUAAACAACGCACUUGACGGAGAAAAGGAUCGCACUAGUCGUGCGUUUGGGGUCUGCCGGGCAAUCAACGGCGCCUUUUCUCAUAGUUGGCAACGGAAACGGGAGCUGAGCAAAGCCCAGGAUGAGCUACCACUCCCCAACCAUGCUUUGAUUACGGACUGUGCAACACGUUGGGGUUCGAAGCAGAAGAUGGCAGAGAGGAUACUGGAACAGGCCACAGCAAUCAAGAGGGUUUUCGCAAACGACAGAAGCCCCCGUCCCCUGCCAAACCUGACGUGGCAAGAUGAAGCUGUGCUGGAGGCACACGAGAGUUUGAUUGGAGGCAGAGAUGGUGUCAUUCUGCAGGAGGCAGACCACCGGACAGGUAAGGGUCAGAGUGGAGGAUGUUGAGACGGAGCAGCCAGUGGCACCUAUUCCACCACCACCACCACCUAAGAAAAUAAAACCUUCCCUGGGUAGCCUUUUGAGAAAGGCGAAGCAACCUUUGACACUCACUGAGGAGCAACGGGCAAACGCAGAAGUAACAGCCUACCUGCAAGAAGAUGCACUGGAUGGGGACAGUGACCCACUCGCAUGGUGGAAGGCAAACGAGAACCGCUUUCCGUUAAUGGCCAAGAUUGCGAGUAAAUAUCUUUGUAUAUGCGCUACUAGUUCACUUUCUGAGCGUGUAUUUAGCACUGCAGGCAACGUUGUCACGCCACUGAGGAGCUUGUUGAAGCCAGAAAAGGUGAAUAUGCUGGUGUUCUUGUCCAGAAACCUGUAGGCUAUGCACACACUUUAAAAUGUGUAUUUAUUAUUAGGCUUUUAGGCAUACAUUUGGACUAUUUCGUUCCUCUGAAUCCAAAUUAGGUUUUCUUUCGAUUGGUUCUACAGUCUGCAAUAUUCCUAGCAAAUGUUUGCAAAAUGCCCAUUUUUAUUUUAUUUGCUCUGAAAUAAUUUAUUUUCAUUUUCUUAAUUUGCGAAAUUGACACUUAGACUUAAUUUUAAAUUGUAUUUAUUAUUAUGCUUUUAGGCCUACUUGCAUGAACAAUACAAUUGGACCAUUAUUGUUUGUCAGCUAAAGCUUGUAAACAUUGGAUUAUUCGUUCCUUUGAAUCCAAAUUUCGUUUUCUUUCGACUGCGUUCUGCAGUCUGCAAUGGGCCUAGCCAAUUUUGUGCCCAUUUCUAUUUUAUUUGCUCUGCCAGCAUUUUUUUUUCGUUUUAAAAGAGUUUUGUGAAGACUUCGCCAUCUGUUAUACUUGUGUUAUGUUCAAUACUCAGUUAUAAUUGUUCUUUAAAAGCGUUUUGUAAGUGGGCCUACAUAUAUAGCCUCCCUUGAAGCGAAUGUCUUAUUAUUCUGUUCCAAAUAAACCCGGCAACCUUUUGACUUGGAUGUUUUUAUGUGAACGUCAAUGGGACUGUCUUAUGCACACCGACAUAAUUAUAUGAAAUUG
ensembl:lncRNA